GGGGCCUUAGCUCAGUUGGUAGAGCGCCGUCUUUGCAUGGCGGAUGUCAGGAGUUCGACUCUCCUAGGCUCCACCA
rnacentral:tRNA from 4 species